UACGUAGGGGGGCAAGCGUUGUCCGGAAUCAUUGGGCGUAAAGAGCGUGUAGGCGGCUUGGUAAGUCCGCUGUGAAAGUCCAGGGCUCAACCCUGGAAUGCCGGUGGAAACUGUCAAGCUUGAGUCCGGAAGAGGCGAGUGGAAUUCCUGGUGUAGCGGUGAAAUGCGCAGAUAUCAGGAGGAACACCAAUGGCGAAGGCAGCUCGCUGGGACGGUACUGACGCUGAGACGCGAAAGCGUGGGAGCAAACAGG
rnacentral:rRNA from 1 species